rnacentral:tRNA from 1 species
UGGCUCAGUGGUAGAGAACCUGCCUGCAAUGCAGGAGACUUGCACAAGUCAGGGGUUCAACCCCU